rnacentral:lncRNA from 1 species
GAAGUUAACAAACAGGAUGCUGCAGAGAUGAAAGAAUAAUGCACCACUAAAUAGACUCCUGCCAUUUGAGGUAUCAUGUUGGCCAUUUAGUUAAAUAUAUAUAUAUAAGACAUGUUUCAUAUAUUGACCCUACAUAACGUUGCCAGCAAAAACAAUUAAUUUGGAGUUAGCACAGCAUAUGCAACAACUGCAUAUGUGAUGCUUGCAUUGUUCAGGCUGAGAGGUGAACCAGAAGGUCCUAUAGCGGUUGUGUAUUACUGUCAUUUCUUUCUCCCAUCAUCAUCGUAUUCCCCAGAGCUAGUGGCUUAUCUAUUCACGGUAUAAUUGAUUUGGAUACCAAACAAAAGUAUAUUAUAUAUGAUCAGCAAAAACACUAAAUUUGGAGUUAGGACAGCAUAAGCAACAACUGCAUAUGUGAUGCUUGCAUUGUUCAGGCUGAGAGGCGGAUCAGGUCCUAUAGUGUUUGUGCACAACUGUCAUUUCUUGCUCCCAUCAUCAUCCUAAUCCCCAGAGCUAGUGGCUUAUCUAUUCACAUUAUAAUUGAUUUGGAUACCAAGCAACAGCAUAUUAUAUAUGAAUUUUUUUAGACAAAAUUUUCAUUUCGACACUUCAUUCCAACCUAGGACAUCUUUGUAAUUCAAACAACUAGAACAACCUUUACAUAAUCA